UUCCAUCAUGCUCAUCUCGAACUCCCCUUGCAUGAGCUUAACAAAAUCUUGACAGAGAGUUUCAUUAGUAGAUCCAAAAGUAAUAUCAUCAAUGUAUAUUUGUAUAACUAAGAUAUCAUCAUGAUUUCUUUUAAUGAAAAGGGUUGUAUCUACAUUUUCUCUUGAAAAAUUAUUGUUAAGCAAGAAUUUACUUAACCUUUCAUACCA
rnacentral:lncRNA from 1 species